rnacentral:rRNA from 1 species
CUUUUGCUGGCGACCGGCGCACGGGUGAGUAACACGUAUCCAACCUGCCUUUACUCGGGGAUAGCCUUUCGAAAGAAAGAUUAAUACCCGAUAGCAUAAUGAUUCCGCAUGGUUUCAUUAUUAAAGGAUUCCGGUAAAGGAUGGGGAUGCGUUCCAUUAGGUUGUUGGUGAGGUAACGGCUCACCUAGUCAACGAUGGAUAGGGGUUCUGAGAGGAAGGUCCCCCACAUUGGAACUGAGACACGGUCCAA